rnacentral:rRNA from 1 species
CUGGCUCAGGACGAACGCUGGCGGCGUGCUUAACACAUGCAAGUCGAGCGAUGAAGCUUCUUCGGAAGUGGAUUAGCGGCGGACGGGUGAGUAACACGUGGGUAACCUGCCUCAUAGAGGGGAAUAGCCUUCCGAAAGGAAGAUUAAUACCGCAUAAGAUUGUAAUAUCGCAUGAUAUAGCAAUUAAAGGAGUAAUCCGCUAUGAGAUGGACCCGCGUCGCAUUAGCUAGUUGGUGAGGUAACGGCUCACCAAGGCGACGAUGCGUAGCCGACCUGAGAGGGUGAUCGGCCACAUUGGGACUGAGACACGGCCCAGACUCCUACGGGAGGCAGCAGUGGGGAAUAUUGCACAAUGGGGGAAACCCUGAUGCAGCCAACGCCGCGUGAGUGAUGACGGUCUUCGGAUUGUAAAGCUCUGUCUUCAGGGACGAUAAUGACGGUACCUGAGGAGGAAGCCACGGCUAACUACGUGCCAGCAGCCGC